rnacentral:lncRNA from 1 species
ACUCAACUCAAGUUACAUUCUUGAUUCUUCUUUCUCUUCUAGUUAGCUUGGUAUUCAGUAAGUUGAAAGGUCUCAGUCUUAACAACUGACUCCUCCAAAACAAGUUCCUGGCUUCAGGAGGCCUGAAAUCUUGUCCAGAAAAAAUAUGAGUGGGAUAAACCAAAAGGGAAGAAAUAAAUUAUUCUCUGAACAGGAAGCACACACUUCAGAAAAAGACAGACAUGGCUACAGUUACUGUCAGAAUUCUUUGCUGUCCUGGAACAAUUAUACAGACUGCCCUCAAAACUGAGUUCAACGUUCCUUACAGAGAGCUGUGAUGAUACCAAAAAAAGAUGUUAAUAUCAGAGUGAAUAUGAAAUGUGAAGUACAGCAUAAGCUAUUAGCCCAUUGCUUUUUGUGGAAUUUUAUUUUGCACAUCCGUUAUUUGCUUUUCCUAAGCAAACAAUGUUAC